rnacentral:miRNA from 1 species
UCAAAACUGAACCGAAAAUGCAAGACUUGCUUUAAUUGUUUUCCUUCAAUAUUUUCUUUCUGUACUAUUUACAAUAAUGGAACUCAUGUUAUUUACACUGUGCUAGAUCAAUACAUAUAAACACUGACAGAAAACAAUUAAAGCAAGUCUUGCAUUUUCGGUUCAGUUUUGA